AUGGAGCAGUCCACCUGGCCAGACCUCCCACCGGACGUGCUCCAUGACAUCUCCAGUCGCCUUCGCGAUGCGGUCGACUUCCUCCGUUUCAGCGCCGUCUGCAGGCCGUGGCGCGACUCAUCCAAGCCGAUCCACUCCUUCCCACCGUGGCUCCUCCCCACGCCGGAGGAAGACUCCGUCCCACUAAGGUUCAGGUGCCUCUUCUCCAAGUCCAGCUACCGCGCGUUGCUGCCUAUCGCCGAAUCCGGGAGGAGGAUCUGGCUGUCUACUCACGAUGCAACCACCAUCCGGUACCUCACGGUCGAACAUCGCCGCCCUAGCCUGCACGACCCUCUAACCGGAGCCGUCACCCGUCUGCCUCUCUUGCCGCAUAAGUGCUGCGUGGACGGCCGAUGGGAGGAAAACCUCCACGGCGCUGUCUAUGCUGAUGGUACGACCCUUCUCUACGGUGUCUCCACCGUCUUCGAGGACACCAAGACCAUAGCCAGCUUCACGGCGGUGCUCCUGCAACCUGGUGAUGCAGAGUGGACGUUCGUGGAGACGAUCUUUGAGAACACCAAUAGGAGCCGAGAGUACUGCGCCACUUACCGUAAUGGCAGAAUCCUGGUAACUAUUGAGUCUAGCGUGUGGCAAAUCUCUACACAGCGGGGGGUUGACAACAUGGGGAUCCCAUUGCAGCGGCUACCAACUAUGUGUGGAAAUUACUUGGAGCAAUACAGUUACCUCCUUGAGUCCCGUGGCGAGCUUUUGUGGGCGACCAUCCAUGUCCGGACAUACUACAAUGAUUCGCGCAGGUUCUCCAUGUGGGUGUGCGCGCUAGACGGGGAUAAGAGACAGUGGGUGAGAAAGGAUGGCUACAGCCUGGCCGAUCGCGCCCUCUUCUUGGGGUCGCCCAACAGCUUUGCCAUCGACGCCUCCGUGCUUGUUGGCCAUGGAGGCUCCGUCUACUUCGUCUACACCAAUAGUAAGGCCGCGCCAUAUAAGCAAUACGGUGUGUUCAGGUACAACCUUGUCAAUGAUGAAGUCAAGUUCAUUGAGCGGCUGCCUCAAGGAUGGAAUUGCGAGAAGUGCACUUGGCUCAUCCCAGAAACAAUCAUGGCUCCGGUUCAGGAAAUCAAUAGGAGCUCUCUGGAAGCUCGUGGCGUGAAGAGGCAAGAGAUUACGUGUCCAACACACGUCAUUCACGUCGAGAGAUAUUAUGAGCCUUGUUUCAAGGUGUUGGUGUACAACCUACCUCUCACCGUGAAAAGCUCUCAGCUGCGACUCUUGUUCGGCAAACAUGGUAAAGUGUUCAGCACCGAGGUGAUCUGCGAUAAGAAGACCAAGCGCUCACGAUAUAUCGGCCACGUAACUAUGUCAACAUCCCAUGCCCACCUAGAAGAUGCUCUAGAUGCUCUCAGUGGCUUGGUUUUGGAAGGUUGCAAUCUCCACAUUAACAUGGUUAAGGAGGGGCGUCCACAGCAGCAGCGGAAGAAGCUACCCUCUUUCAUCGGAGCAGCAGCGCAGCUACAUAUAGGUCCAUUCUCCUGGCUCUGGUUAUAA
rnacentral:rRNA from 1 species